UUAAACAAAAACAGAUCAGAAAUUUAUUGAAAUUUGAAUAAGCUAAUUAAAUAAAUUAAUAAGAAAAUUAAGGUGAACAUGAAGAGAGAGGGUGCAAAGGAAAAGCGUUCACGAUCCUGAAGCGAUUAAUCAAAAGCGCUUAUGUAAAAAAAAUCCAACUCAAUAUCGCGUUUCUUCACAGUGCUUCACAUAUUCACCUUCGUCUUCCUCAAGAACAAAUCGAAGCGAAUAAAGUGAAGAAUCAAGGCUCCAAUCAUCAAUUCACGACUCGGAAUCAACAUCAACAACUCAAUUCAAUUCAUCAUCCUGCAUGCGCGAAAACGGAAAAAUGGAAUCGAAACCAAAGCGAGAAACUCACCGGAUUGAAGCUUUGAUGCAAACAGGGAUGUUUAAUUGGAGUUAUUUGUGAACUCAGGCGCGCUUGGGAUGGUUUGAAGAAUUUGUGCUUGGAAUUGGCUUAGCUUGAAGAGUGGAUAUAAUUGCUUGAAUUUGCUAUGGCUCACAUGCUUGGAAGGGAUUGGAUUGAAAUUGUGUAGAAAUUGAGGUUUUUAUGAAUUGGACAUUGUAAUGUAAGAAUGUUGUAAAUUGGAAAAUAUGAAUGGGAUUUGCACAGAAAUGUUAUAAAUUGAAAUGAAAAAUAUGGUUCACGUAAA